UUUAUGGAGAGUUUGAUCCUGGCUCAGGAUGAACGCUGGCGGCGUGCCUAAUACAUGCAAGUCGAGCGAACGGACGAGAAGCUUGCUUCUCUGAUGUUAGCGGCGGACGGGUGAGUAACACGUGGAUAACCUACCUAUAAGACUGGGAUAACUUCGGGAAACCGGAGCUAAUACCGGAUAAUAUUUUGAACCGCAUGGUUCAAAAGUGAAAGACGGUCUUGCUGUCACUUAUAGAUGGAUCCGCGCUGCAUUAGCUAGUUGGUAAGGUAACGGCUUACCAAGGCAACGAUGCAUAGCCGACCUGAGAGGGUGAUCGGCCACACUGGAACUGAGACACGGUCCAGACUCCUACGGGAGGCAGCAGUAGGGAAUCUUCCGCAAUGGGCGAAAGCCUGACGGAGCAACGCCGCGUGAGUGAUGAAGGUCUUCGGAUCGUAAAACUCUGUUAUUAGGGAAGAACAUAUGUGUAAGUAACUGUGCACAUCUUGACGGUACCUAAUCAGAAAGCCACGGCUAACUACGUGCCAGCAGCCGCGGUAAUACGUAGGUGGCAAGCGUUAUCCGGAAUUAUUGGGCGUAAAGCGCGCGUAGGCGGUUUUUUAAGUCUGAUGUGAAAGCCCACGGCUCAACCGUGGAGGGUCAUUGGAAACUGGAAAACUUGAGUGCAGAAGAGGAAAGUGGAAUUCCAUGUGUAGCGGUGAAAUGCGCAGAGAUAUGGAGGAACACCAGUGGCGAAGGCGACUUUCUGGUCUGUAACUGACGCUGAUGUGCGAAAGCGUGGGGAUCAAACAGGAUUAGAUACCCUGGUAGUCCACGCCGUAAACGAUGAGUGCUAAGUGUUAGGGGGUUUCCGCCCCUUAGUGCUGCAGCUAACGCAUUAAGCACUCCGCCUGGGGAGUACGACCGCAAGGUUGAAACUCAAAGGAAUUGACGGGGACCCGCACAAGCGGUGGAGCAUGUGGUUUAAUUCGAAGCAACGCGAAGAACCUUACCAAAUCUUGAC
rnacentral:rRNA from 1 species